UCACUGGUGGACUAGUGGCUAGCAUGUGGCGCUCUCACCGCUGUGGCCUGGGUUUGAUUACCAGUCAGGGAA